rnacentral:rRNA from 1 species
UACGAAGGGGGCUAGCGUUGCUCGGAAUGACUGGGCGUAAAGGGCGCGUAGGCGGUUUGUACAGUCAGGUGUGAAAUUCCCGGGCUCAACCUGGGGGCGGCACUUGAGACGUAGGAACUGGAGUGAGGAAGAGGGUCGUGGAAUUCCCAGUGUAGAGGUGAAAUUCGUAGAUAUCGCUUGGAACGCCAAUGGUGAAAACAGCUUGCUGGGGGUGUGCUGACGCUGAGACACGAAAGCCAGGGGAGCAAACGGG